rnacentral:rRNA from 1 species
ACGAAGGGGGCUAGCGUUGCUCGGAAUGACUGGGCGUAAAGGGCGCGUAGGCGGUUUGUUUAGUUAGGUGUGAAAUUCCUGGGCUUAACCUGGGGGCUGCACUUAAUACAGGCAGACUGGAGUUCGGAAGAGGGUUGUGGAAUUCCCAGUGUAGAGGUGAAAUUCGUAGAUAUUGGGAAGAACACCGGUGGCGAAGGCGGCAACCUGGUCCGAUACUGACGCUGAGGCGCGAAAGCGUGGGGAGCAAACAGGAUUAGAUACCCUGGUAGUCCACGCUGUAAACGAUGUGUGCUGGAUGUUGGGCAACCUAGUUGCGCAGUGUCGUAGCUAACGCGGUAAGCACACCGCCUGGGGAGUACGGCCGCAAGGUUG